UGGGGAAUCUUGCGCAAUGGGCGAAAGCCUGACGCAGCGACGCCGCGUGCGGGAAGAAGGCCUUCGGGUUGUAAACCGCUUUCAGGAGGGACGAAGCCACUCAGGUUAAUAGCCGAGAGGGUGACGGUACCUCCAGAAGAAGCCCCGGCUAACUACGUGCCAGCAGCCGCGGUAAUACGUAGGGGGCAAGCGUUGUCCGGAUUUAUUGGGCGUAAAGAGCGUGUAGGCGGCCAGAUAAGUCUGCUGUGAAAACUCGAGGCUCAACCUCGAGCUGUCGGCGGAAACUAUUUGGCUAGAGUCCGGAAGAGGAAAGCGGAAUUCCUGGUGUAGCGGUGAAAUGCGCAGAUAUCAGGAAGAACACCCGUGGCGAAGGCGGCUUUCUGGGACGGUACUGACGCUGAGACGCGAAAGCGUGGGGAGCGAACAG
rnacentral:rRNA from 1 species